rnacentral:tRNA from 1 species
GAAGGGCUGUGGCUCAGUGGUUGAGCAUCUGCUAAACGUGCAGAAGGUCCCAGGGUUCAAUCCCCGACGUCUUCA